rnacentral:rRNA from 1 species
UACGGGGGGGGCAAGCGUUGUCCGGAAUUAUUGGGCGUAAAGAGCUCGUAGGCGGUCUGUCACGUCGGCUGUGAAAACCCGAGGCUCAACCUCGGGCCUGCAGUCGAUACGGGCAAACUAGAGUACUGCAGGGGAGACUGGAAUUCCUGGUGUAGCGGUGGAAUGCGCAGAUAUCAGGAGGAACACCGAUGGCGAAGGCAGGUCUCUGGGCCAUUACUGACACUGAGAAGCGAAAGCAUGGGGAGCGAACAGG